GACGAACGCUGGCGGCGUGCUUAACACAUGCAAGUCGAACGGAAAGGCCCUGCUUUUGUGGGGUGCUCGAGUGGCGAACGGGUGAGUAACACGUGAGUAACCUGCCCUUGACUUUGGGAUAACUUCAGGAAACUGGGGCUAAUACCGGAUAGGAGCUCUUGCUGCAUGGUGGGGGUUGGAUAGUUUCGGCGGUUGGGGAUGGACUCGCGGCUUAUCAGCUUGUUGGUGGGGUAGUGGCUUACCAAGGCUUUGACGGGUAGCCGGCCUGAGAGGGUGACCGGCCACAUUGGGACUGAGAUACGGCCCAGACUCCUACGGGAGGCAGCAGUGGGGAAUAUUGCACAAUGGGCGGAAGCCUGAUGCAGCAACGCCGCGUGCGGGAUGACGGCCUUCGGGUUGUAAACCGCUUUCGCCUGUGACGAAGCGUGAGUGACGGUAAUGGGUAAAGAAGCACCGGCUAACUACGUG
rnacentral:rRNA from 1 species